rnacentral:rRNA from 1 species
GUAGGGAAUAUUGGGCAAUGGAUGCAAGUCUGACCCAGCCAUCCCGCGUGCCGGAAGAAGGCCCUCAGGGUUGUAAACGGCUUUUGACGGUGAAGAAUCGACAGGAUGCGUCCUGUUUUGACGGUAGCCGUUAAAUAAGCACCGGCUAACUCCGUGCCAGCAGCCGCGGUAAUACGGAGGGUGCGAGCGUUGUCCGGAUUUAUUGGGUUUAAAGGGUGCGUAGGCUGGAAGGUCAGUCAGCGGUGAAAAGCUGUCGCUUAACGAUAGUCUUGCCGCAGAUACUUCCUUUCUUGGAUGAGGAGGAGGCCACUGGAACGGAUGGUGUAGCGGUGAAAUGCAUAGAUAUCAUCCAGAACACCGAUUGCGAAGGCAGGUGGCUGUACCUUAAUCGACGCUGAUGCACGAAAGCAUGGGGAGCAAACAGGAUUAGAAACCCUUGUAGUCC